GGCUUUUUUUAAAUAACAUAUGAAAUUAUAAAUUUAUUUCAAUAGUAAAAAAUUGAAAUACAUUGCACCAAAACGAAACAUUUAGUAAACAUCAUGUACAUGGCACAGUAGAUGGAUCAACAUGCAAAAAUUAAUGUAUUUUUAGUAUGGCUUUGUCAACUUCUGCUUAAGCAUCUCAAAAUUUCUAUCAGCCCAUAGACUUUAUAUGCAUUUGUAUGGGUCAAAGGUUUAACUUUAACACUAUUUUAUUAAUCUGAAAUGCAUAAAUUUAUACAUUUUGACACAAUACCUUCCAAAAAAUGAGUGUUUAAAAACAGUAUAAAUAUUUUCAACAUUUAUUUAAGCAAUGGGUGUACAUUCCUGAAUACUGUUGUUGAUCUAACAAAUUGUGUUGACCUAAUCAUAUAAAACAAGAAUGUGUCCAAAGUACACGGAUGCCCCACUCGCACUAUCCUUUUCCAUGUUCCAUGUACUGUAAAAAUUGGGUAAUUAAUCUAAUUUGGCAUUAAAAUUAGAAAGAUUAUACUAUAGGGAACAUAUGUACUAAAAUUCAAGUUAAUUGGACUUCAAUUUCAUCAAAAACUACCUUGACCAAAAACUUUAACCUGAAACUCCCACUUUCAUUUUCUAUGUUUAGUGAACCGUGAAAUUGGGGUCAAAAGUCCUAAUUUGGCUUUAAAAUUAGAAAGAUCAUAUCAUAAGCAACAAGUGUACUAAGUUUCAAGUUGAUUGGACUUCAGCUUCAUCAAAAACUACCUUGACC
rnacentral:lncRNA from 1 species